CCUACGGGUGGCAGCAGUGGGGAAUAUUGGACAAUGGGGGCAACCCUGAUCCAGCCAUGCCGCGUGUGUGAAGAAGGCCCUCGGGUUGUAAAGCACUUUCAGUGAGGAAGAACGCCUGGUGGUUAAUACCCAUCAGGAAAGACAUCACUCACAGAAGAAGCACCGGCUAACUCCGUGCCAGCAGCCGCGGUAAUACGGAGGGUGCGAGCGUUAAUCGGAAUUACUGGGCGUAAAGCGCGCGUAGGUGGCUUGAUAAGCCGGUUGUGAAAGCCCCGGGCUCAACCUGGGAACGGCAUCCGGAACUGUCAAGCUAGAGUGCAGGAGAGGAAGGUAGAAUUCCCGGUGUAGCGGUGAAAUGCGUAGAGAUCGGGAGGAAUACCAGUGGCGAAGGCGGCCUACUGGACUGUCACUGACACUGAGGUGCGAAAGCGUGGGUAGCAAACAGGAUUAGAUACCCGAGUAGUC
rnacentral:rRNA from 1 species